UGCCACACUGCAGGGUAAUUGUGUUAAAAAAAAACAUUGCUAGCUAGCACUAUCAAACAUAUUCUGGAAAAUGAAGCUGUCAAAAAGCAUAAGCUAUAUGAUGCAAAAUCAAGACAGGUGGGAGCCAAAUUGUUACAAAAAUCAUCCUGAUUCACUCCGUAUCCCACUACGUGAUUUAAACUCUUCCCUCCUCAUCAUUGAUUUAUGACCAAAGAUGGAAAAAUCCUCUUCUUGCUCUGGAAACUUAGCUAGCUACACCAUUCCGAUUCAGGAAAUUCUAGCCUCAGGAAAUAACAACUUAAUCCUACCGAAGGAUGCAGAGAGAUCAACACCAAAGCCAGUAAUCUCUGGGAUACGUUAGAGGUAUAAAAUAACCUUUCCAAAACCACCACUGGCAAUUUUCUCAUGGAGACAAGUUGAUGAACAUAGCUAGCUAGCUCUCUACCAAUCUGAUUCCUGAGUAUCAAGCCAUUAAGGAUGCAGAGAUCAACACAAAGACUGCAUAUUCUAGGUAUCUCUAUCAUUAUUUGGGAGAUCUUACUGUAGUUAAGUGAGAUGAGAAACAAUUCUAAUGUUUUUUCUUCUUGUUCAGUCAAGGGCACUCUCGGGGAUGCGGACGUCGGAGCAGAUAUAAAACAAGGAGAACAUUCCUUGCCUAAACCACCACUGGAGACUGCAGUAUUCUCACGGUGAGAAAUCAACACAGGUGAGCCAAAUUGUUUCAAAAUCAGAUUGAUUCACUUCACUGUAACUAGAUCUGUUCUCACGUUCCUCUUAUAAUUGUUGAUUUAAUGUCUCAUUGCAGGGAAGCGAGUGUUAAAAACAUAGCUAGCACAACUAGACUGAUUAUGGAUAGUCAACCCAUCAAUUCAGAACCAGAAACAGUAACGCUGCUGCUGCUGUGCUGCACAGGACAAAACGAGGGUCUUGCUCACACCCAAGUUUUAAGCUCGACCUGUGCAAAAGCAGGGAACACGAAGGUAAUGCAUCUUGAUUCACCGAAGUAUAUUUGUACGUCAUAAAUAGAAAACUAAACAAAACCGAUGUGUCAUGUGUCUAUGAUGCAGAUCUCAACAGCUCCAACUUUGCCUGCACCACAAAGAAGUACACCACAUCUGCUAAAAUUCUGAGGUAAAUACCCUUUAUUUAAACAGGUAUGAAGCUUCUUUUCACCCUAGAAAGUUGUUUGUAUGCAUUAAAAACUUGAUUUCAUGCCAUCUAAUAGGCCUGCCUUUGUUUCCCUCGCAUGCAGAAUAAUGAUUGGCUAAUCUCUUAUGUUAAAAUCAACUAAAUGACAAACCUUUAUUUAUACUAGUAAUCAAAAUAAUCAAAAUAACAAAAAGGCCCUAUACAAUUAGAUUAGAAAUUUUUACGGUAGUUAUUUGUAAAAU